CCAGAUGCUUCGCAGGGCCUAGCUUUAUACGACCGCAGAGGUUGAACCCUGAACGGUUGGGGCAAGUAUGGACACAACAUUCAAGCUGGAUUCAGCUCUAAAUUUGGACUGUGAUUAAAUAGUUGACACAGCAUAGGUUUCUGACACAGAAUGAAUGUGUUCUAAUGAACUUAAAAUUUUUGUUUUCUCUUAGAGCAAUUCACUAUGCUGUUCAAUAUUAAUCCUCUCAAAAAAAU
rnacentral:lncRNA from 1 species